GAUGAACGCUGGCGGUAUGCCUAACACAUGCAAGUCGUACGAGAGUUUUUAACUCUAGUGGCGGACGGGUGAGUAACACGUGAGAAUUUGCCUUUAGGAGGGGGACAACAAUUGGAAACGAAUGCUAAUACCCCAUAUGCUUUCGAGUGAAAUGGAUUUUAUCCGCCUAGAGAGAAGCUCGCGGCUGAUUAGCUUGUUGGUAAGGUAAGAGCUUACCAAGGCGACGAUCAGUAUCUGGUUUGAGAGGACGAUCAGACACACUGGAACUGAGACACGGUCCAGACUCCUACGGGAGGCAGCAGUGGGGAAUUUUCCGCAAUGGGCGAAAGCCUGACGGAGCAAUACCGCGUGAGGGAAGAAUGCCUAUGGGUUGUAAACCUCUUUUUCAGGGUAGGAAUAAAAUGACGUGUACCUGAAGAAUAAGCAUCGGCUAACUCCGUG
rnacentral:rRNA from 1 species